GCCGAAAACUGAAACAAACAUUUUUUUUUUCAUCGGAAGGAAAUCUGUUGCUCGCAGAACUUCCUUCUUGGUACAAUCUAAUGGUACGUUACAUUUAAUUAUGUUUUUAAGUAGAAGUUUCGUUUGUAUUGGUGGCAGAGAUGGAGCCAGACUGGUGAACAAAGGAAAUAUAUAUAUAUUUAGCUGUCAAUGGGCAAUAUGUGGCCUGACUCGGCCUCCCAACCAAAAGUUAUGAGCAGUUCAGAAAAUUGAAAGUUCCAGCAAGGACCACCUGUCCAUCUGUGAAGCUUCCGUUUCUCGUAUAAAGGGAGUGUUUUUUAUUUCUUUCUAACAGCAGUACAAACGGUUGAAGCUACAGGACUUAUCCAUCUGGUGGACGAUGCUGUAACUAAUGGAAUAACUGAAAAAAUUAGAGGACGUUGCUGCCAUGAAUUGGACUGGUGAGCAUCGCACUUUCAUUGUGGAAACGUUUAUCAAAACAAACGAUUCUGUAAAUGCAACACAAAGAGCGUUCCGUUUGCACUUCAAUCUUGGUAGACAUGAUCCCGUACCAGCUCGAAACACGAUCUUCUUAUGGGUUACCAACUUCAGAGCUACUGGAUCUGCAUUGAAACGAAAAUCAACCGGCCGACCUCGCAACGCCAGAACUUAAAGAUUCAAUUCGUCAAGAAAUUACAGCCAUUCCACAUGAAAUGACCCGCCGAGUGAUUGACAACUUUCGUGAACGCCUUCGACAGUGUGUGGACAAUAAUGGAUCCCAUUUGACUGAUUUAAUUUUUGAAAUA